UGUAUAAAUAUUCCGGGCCACGCAUAACUGUGCUUUCUCUGGGCAAAAACCAAAACAAAACAAAUUUCGCAUAGAAAAGUGUAUUUUUAGAGUAUUAACGUAUCGGCUAUCAGGAGGAUGCAUGUAAGAAAGUGCUCCCCAGCGUGGGGGGACUAUGCUAUUUUACGAGCUGUAUUUCACAUUUUCACAGGUCACCGCCACGCACACAAUCACAAAUAGACACGCACACGCAUACGAAUACGCACAUAAACACAUUUGUCCAAGGGAGCGCGACAAUUGCCUGAACGGCGCGGCCGGCCUUGUGGGACAUUUUGCAUGGAGCAGAGGAUGCGAUGCGAUGCGAUGCGAUGGUCCGGCACUGGAGGAGGAAACCUAAUGAGCGCGUACCGCCCACGCAAUGAAACGGGCCAGAGACACACACACACACACACACACACAUACUAGGCAAUUUUGGGCUGCUGUCUCGGAUCUCGGGAGCCCUCAUAUCUGUGGUUUUCAUGGAAUCAACUGACCAGAAUGGUGUACUCUGGCCUUCUCAGCCAAGUUACACCUGCAUCUGCCUGGGGAUUUAUUCGACAUCAACCUAACAAAUUCCGAUAUGAACCAUCAUCACAAAACCGACGGAAGCCCCCGUGGUCGUGACCCCGUACCCUCAAUGGUUCAUAUUUUGUCAUAAUUUAUGUCGCUCUGGGUGUUGUUGCUGAUGUUUUGGGUUGGCUUCUUCUGGUCCUGGUCCUGGCCCUCCUCUGCAUCCGCUCCAGGCCAAGCAGCACCAUCACCAGCACCGCAGCAGGGCAUAUCUGUCAGAAGAUGCUGCGCGAGAGAGGAGGGAUGCUGCUACAGGAUGGACUCUGAUGUGCAGAUGGAUACAGGAUAGCAGAGAGAGCAGACACACGGAUACACUGAGACAAACAAACUUUAAGGUGGCAUUCAUUUCGAUUCGAAAAUGGACUCCUUCCUCGCGCGAGUAUUUUCGGGCAGUGUAUGCCUGGUUCCCCCUCGCGGCGUGGUGGCCCCGCAUGUUACGCAUUUCCUCUUGGGAUUCCAGGGCAUUGGGCGCUGUUCUUUUGAUAUUGUAAUGUGCAUAAUAGGAUUUUUAUGACACCUUUACUGUGGGGGCGGGCGGGCAUCAGGCAUCGCCAAUGGCACCAAUGGCUGCUGCCUCGCCUAAUCGCCAGAAGGACUGGCAGACUGGCCCCCUGUUUCCGCUGCUGAUGCUCUCCUUCUUGUCACCAAAAAGUUGCAAAUUUUAUUGGCCGGAUGUGCGGAUGUGCGGAUGUGCGGCAGCGGCAUGUGGAUUGUGGAUUUGCAUCAGAUCAUGAAUUUCACACGAUGGGCUGCCGCCUGUGCGCUCACCUUUCGCAUUUCAUUUACACUUGUGCUGCAUAUUUUAUUGUGUUGUAUGUACACGGCAUUAUUGCACACAAAUGGCCAGUUACAUAUUAAGCCGAACAAUAACCGCCGACUGUGUUGUCAGGACUCUGGGGGAAACCCGGAUGUGGAUGUGGAUGCGAAUGUGGAUAUGGGUCCUCCAGAUGGCUGGCAAAAUGCCAUUUGAUUCGAGCGACACUUGGGGCUGUCUCUGUCUCCUGCUCCUGCCUCGUUGCGCAUCGUUUGGGAGCCCCUCCUCUCUAAUGGCUGUACGGAAUUAAUUUUCCAAAACCUUUUGAAAGGUGUCGCCUCCAUGCAAUUCCAAGGAGAUCGAUAAGUCCAGGGAGAGCUAAAUUGUGGAUUUACAUUGAGAGGCCACAGUAAAUCAUCGUUCUGCGAGUACGAGUAGUAUGUGCCUGGAAUGAGCCGUCGAAAAUCAAUAGCGUGAGACACUCCAGACAAAGCCAACAGGAGGCAACCCUUUCAAUCAGCAGCAUCAGAUGUACGACGAGUAUUCUCCACGCGUCGAUGGCCAUCAGCAGCCCCGAGGACACGGACACGGACACGGACAUGGACACGGACACAAUGCGAUGCUAUCGCAGAUCAAGUUGCUUUAACCUCCCCAUCAAUUAAAGUAAGAGGCUUUUUCUUUAUUUUAUCUAUUGUGGCUUUUGGUCCAGCUGUUGGCUGUAUUUGGUUGAAUUUUAAGUGAAAUUUCAAUAUUUAUAAAU
rnacentral:sRNA from 1 species